rnacentral:tmRNA from 2 species
GCACUUUCCUUACGCCGUCGAGAAGACUAUAAUCAAAGGGCUGGGCAACCAGCUAUGGCGAUAAACGUUUUGUGGAAUAAGCGUAACGGACCCGGGGGCAGUGCCCGGCGCCUCCACCAUAAAGUAUUUGCCGAUUCAACGGUUUAUGGGGGCGAAACAGGAUCGACGUGCGUGGUAAAGGCAUGACUUUCGUUCGGCAUGGUACCACCGAUAUCGGGCCGAUUUUACAAAUGCUAACGAUAAUGAAGCAUUUGCGGUAGCCGCUUAAUAACCGGUCUGCCACGGGGUUCGGAGGGCACCUGGCAACAGAAGCCCUCCACU